UUCAAUUUCUGUGACUGUCUUCAAACUUGGAAUGAUACAGAGAAGACUAACAUGGCCCUUGACUACGGGUGACUUGCAAAGCUGUGAAGCAUUCCAUAUUUUU
rnacentral:snRNA from 1 species